CAGUAGCCGCGGUAAUACGUAGGUGGCAAGCGUUGUCCGGAAUUAUUGGGCGUAAAGGGCUCGCAGGCGGUUUCUUAAGUCUGAUGUGAAAGCCCCCGGCUCAACCGGGGAGGGCCAUUGGAAACUGGGAAACUUGAGUGCAGAAGAGGAGAGUGGAAUUCCACGUGUAGCGGUGAAAUGCGUAGAGAUGUGGAGGAACACCAGUGGCGAAGGCGACUCUCUGGUCUGUAACUGACGCUGAGGAGCGAAAGCGUGGGGAGCGAACAGGAUUAGAUACCCCCGUAGUCCCUGUCUCUUAUAC
rnacentral:rRNA from 1 species